rnacentral:rRNA from 1 species
AACGAACGCUGGCGGCAGGCCUAACACAUGCAAGUCGAGCGCGCCCUUCGGGGUGAGCGGCGGACGGGUGAGUAACGCGUGGGAACGUGCCCUUUUCUACGGAAUAGCCUCGGGAAACUGAGAGUAAUACCGUAUACGCCCUUUGGGGGAAAGAUUUAUCGGAAAAGGAUCGGCCCGCGUUGGAUUAGGUAGUUGGUGGGGUAAUGGCCUACCAAGCCGACGAUCCAUAGCUGGUUUGAGAGGAUGAUCAGCCACACUGGGACUGAGACACGGCCCAGACUCCUACGGGAGGCAGCAGUGGGGAAUCUUAGACAAUGGGGGCAACCCUGAUCUAGCCAUGCCGCGUGAGUGAUGAAGGCCUUAGGGUUGUAAAGCUCUUUCGGCUGGGAAGAUAAUGACGGUACCAGCAGAAGAAGCCCCGGCUAACUCCGUG